rnacentral:rRNA from 1 species
UACGGGGGGGGCAAGCGUUGUUCGGAAUUACUGGGCGUAAAGGGCCAGUAGGCGGCCAACUAAGUCAGACGUGAAAUCCCCCGGCUUAACCUGGGAACUGCGUCUGAUACUGGGAGGCUAGAGUAUGGGAGAGGGAUGUAGAAUUCCAGGUGUAGCGGUGAAAUGCGUAGAUAUCUGGAGGAAUACCGGUGGCGAAGGCAGGUCUCUGGGCCACUACUGACGCUGAGAAGCGAAAGCAUGGGGAGCGAACAGG